CAAAGAAAAGGUCAAAGAACUGGGAAUCAGUUUCAUAUUCAACCCACCUGCUUCAAGUCACAUGGGAGGAGUCUGGGAGAGACAGAUUCGAACAAUACGAAAUGUUCUCAGAUCCAUUCUCGACCAGUCAACUUCAAGAUUAGACACUUCAUCGUUGCGAACAUUCAUGUAUGAAGCUAUGGCGAUAGUGAAUAGCCGUCCACUAUCAGUCGAGUGCAUCAACGAUCCAGUCGGACCAGAGCCACUCACACCAAAUCAUAUUUUGACAAUGAAAUCAACAGUGAUAUCACCACCGCCCGGAGAAUUCGUCAAAGAAGAUCUCUACCUGCAGAAAAGAUGGAAAAGAGUGCAGUAUUUGGCGAACAUAUUUUGGACUAGAUGGAGAAAGGAAUAUCUGUUAAACCUGCAACAGAGAAGUAAGUGGAAUAAGAACAGAAGAAACACAAAAGUCAAUGACAUUGUUCUUCUACAAGAAGAUUGUGUUCCAAGAAACCAGUGGAAACUCGCCAAGGUCGUAGAAGUCACUCCAGGAGCUGACGACAGAGUCAGAAAGGUCAAGCUUCUCAUCAGUGACACUACUCGGGACAAUAAAGGAGCACGUUCAACUAAGACUGUUUUAGAAAGGCCAAUACAUAAGACUAUACUUUUGCUAGAAGCAGAGUAAGGACUUAUAAGUGUGUUUAUUUGCUAAAGUUCGUAAGUUCAUGUUGUGUUAACUUCUAUUUAGGAUCACACAUACAGUAGAAGUAGUGUGAUGGUGGGAGUGUAACAGCUGCUGAAGUAAAGUUAACUUCAUCGUUUUACCACUAGGAGGAGCUGUCGCAUUGGUAAUGCUAAAAGUAAUUUGCUUGGUGCGCAGUUAAUUUGUAUAAAUAUUGUUUUUAUUUUCCUAAUAUUGUAAAGUGCUUAUUAGGCCAAGGUAAUGCAUACUAGUGAUAAUAAUUGGGUUUAAACUAAUAUAAAAAUUGUAAAUGCUAAGUCAUGUGAGAGGGCACGGCCAGGUUACUUCCUGUUUUGUUGCUAAGCUAAAGAGAAGCAGCCGACACGGCAGACAAGGCUCCCGACCGAGUGUUAAAUAAAAGUAUAAAAGAAAAGAAAUAAGCAACUUCCCAAGUUCACACCGUUUGCUCACUUAGCAGGCCAAAGUGUUCUACGGUGUACUCUGUGAUGUUAAAGCCUCAAGAAAGUCACAGUAAAACAUCAGUAAAAGAAAAGAA